UACCUCACCCAGUCCAGACAGCGUAAGGAUUGACAGGUUGAUUGUCCUUUCUUGAUUCUCUGGGUAGUGGUGCAUGGCCGUUCUUAGUUGGUGGAGUGAUUUGUCUGGUUAAUUCCGUUAACGAACGAGACCUUAACCUGCUAUUUAGUCGCUCGGUGCUUGUCCGUGCGCACUUCAUAGAGGGACUCUGCGGCGUCAAGCUGCGGUGAGGUUUAAGGCAAUAACAGGUCUGUGAUGCCCUUAGAUGUCCUGGGCUGCACGCGCGCUACACUGAUGCUUGCCUCGUGUUUACCCUCGGCCGAUAGGCCUUGGUAACCCCUAGUCUGCAUCGUGUUUGGGAUUGAUCUUUGCAAUUCUAGAUCAUGAACGAGGAAUGCCUAGUAUGCGCAAGUCAUCAGCUUGUGCAGAUUACGUCCCUGCCCUUUGUA
rnacentral:rRNA from 1 species